rnacentral:rRNA from 1 species
UACGUAGGGUGCAAGCGUUAAUCGGAAUUACUGGGCGUAAAGCGCGUGUAGGCUGCGGAGUAAGUCGGAUGUGAAAUCCCUUGGCUUAACCAAGGAAGUGCAUCCGAUACUGUUUCGCUUGAGUGUCGGAGGGGAUGGCGGAAUUCCCGGUGUAGAGGUGAAAUUCGUAGAUAUCGGGAGGAACACCUGUGGCGAAGGCGGCUCUCUGGGACGGUACUGACGCUGAGACGCGAAAGCGUGGGAGCGAACGAG